rnacentral:sRNA from 1 species
GCUGGGGUGUGGUGGUGCAUGUCUGUAAUCCCAGCAGCUUUGGAGGCUGAGGCAGGAGGAUCUUAAGUUCAAAGCCAGCCUCAGCAAUAGCAAGGUGCUAAGCAACUCAGUGAGACCCUGUCUCUA